GAUGAACGCUGGCGGCGUGCUUAACACAUGCAAGUCGAACGCUGAAGACCUGGCUUUUGUUGGGUUGGUUGAGUGGCGAACGGGUGAGUAACACGUGAGUAACCUGCCCUCUUCUUUGGGAUAACGUCCGGAAACGGGUGCUAAUACCGGAUAAUCACUGGCCUCCCCAUGGGGGUUGGUGGAAGGGUUUUUUCCGGUGGGGGAUGGGCUCGCGGCCUAUCAGUUUGUUGGUGGGGUGAUGCCCUACAAAGGCUUUGGCGGGUAGCUGGCCUGGGAGGGUGACCGGGGACAUUAGGAAUGGGCUACGGCCCAAAGGGAUGCGGGAGGCGGCAGUGGGGAAUAAUGCGCGAAAGGCGGAAGCCUGAAGCAGGGGCGCCGCAUGAGGGAUGGAGGCUUGCGGAGUGUUAACCUCUUUCGCGAAUGGUCAAGCCGCAACUGAGGGUUGUGGUGAGGGUAGUGGGUAAAGAAGCGCCGGCUAACUACGUG
rnacentral:rRNA from 1 species